UUAGUCAGUGGCUGUAGACGCGAAACUUGGUGAUCUACCCUUGGUCAGGUUGAAGCGCUGGUAACACAUCGUGGAGGACCGAACCGGUAAACGUUGAAAAGUUUUCGGAUGAACUGAGGGUAGGGGUGAAAGGCCAAUCAAACUGAGAAAUAGCUCGUACUCCCCGAAAUGCCUUUAGGGGCAGCGUCGUGGUUGAGUUUGCUGGAGGUAGAGCUACCGAUAGGACUAGGGGGAGUCACAUCCUACCGAAUCCUGACGAACUCCGAAUGCCAUGAGACAUACUCGGCAGUGAGGCUUGGGGUGCUAAGGUCCCAGGCCGAGAGGGAAAGAACCCAGACCGCCAGCUAAGGUCCCUAAAUAUAUGCUAAGUUGAACAAAGGAGGUCCAGCUGCCCAGACAGCCAGGAUGUUGGCUUGGAAGCAGCCAUUCAUUUAAAGAGUGCGUAACAGCUCACUGGUCGAGCGACAGGGCAUCGAUAAUAAACGGGCAUCAAGUAUAGCACCGAAGCUGUGGAUUCCGAGUAAUCGGAAUGGUAGGGGAGCAUUCUAUUGUGGGUUGAAGCUCAUCUGUGAGGAUGGGUGCACCCAAUAGAAAAGCAAAUGUAGGCAUAAGUAACGAUAAUGCAGGUGAGAAACCUGCACGCCAAUAGACUAAGGUUUCCUGAUCAACGCUAAUCGGAUCAGGGUUAGUCGGGACCUAAGGCGAGGCCGAAAGGCGUAGUCGAUGGAUAACGGGUUAAUAUUCCCGUACUGGCGCAUGUGAGUGAUGGGGUGACGAAGCGGUGACAGGUCUGCGAGGUGACGAAAUACCUCGUUGAAGGGUGUAGGUAUUGGAAUGAUAGGUAAAUCCGUCAAUCUAGCCGAACCUGAUAGUACUGCAAUGCUACGGUAGCGCAGAUAAUGACCGUAAAAGCUUCCAAGAAAAACCUCUAAGCGUUUACGCAUGUGCUACCCGUACCGCAAACCGACACAGGUAGUCAAGUGGAGAACACUGAGGCGCUCGAGUGAGACGUGGCUAAGGAACUAGGCAAAAUAACCCUGUAAGUUCGCAAGAAGGGGUGCCUCCCCCUUUGGAGCAAUCCAAAGAGGAGGUCGCAGAGAAAUGGCCCAGGCGACUGUUUAACAAAAACACAUGGCUUUGCAAAAUCGUAAGAUGCAGUAUAAGGCCUGACACCUGCCCGGUGCUGGAAGGUUAAGGGGGGAUGUUAGGGGGGUUUUCGGACUUCCCGAGGCAUUGAACUGAAGCCCCAGUAAACGGCGGCCGUAACUAUAACGGUCCUAAGGUAGCGAAAUUCCUUGUCGGGUAAGUUCCGACC
rnacentral:rRNA from 1 species